GACGAACGCUGGCGGCGUGCUUAACACAUGCAAGUCGAACGAAGUGGCGAACGGGUGAGUAAUACGUGGGUAACCUGCCCUCCUUUUUGGGAUAAGCCUUGGAAACGGGUUCUAAUACCGAAUUAAGGGGGAUGGGCUCGCGGCUUAUCAGCUGGUUGGUGGGGUGAUGGCCUACCAAGGCGGUGCCGGGUAGCCGGCCUGAGAGGGUGACCGGCCACGUGGGGACUGAGAUACGGCCCAGGCUCCUAGGGGAGGCAGCAGUGGGAGAUAUUGCACAAUGGGGGAGAGGCUGAUGCAGCGACGCCGCGUGGGGGAUGAAGGCGUUCGGGUUGUAAACCUCUUUCGCUAUCGAUAGGGUAGGUGGAGAAGAAGCGCCGGCUAACUACGUGCCAGCAGCCGCGGUAAUAC
rnacentral:rRNA from 1 species